rnacentral:rRNA from 1 species
UUGAUCCUGGCUCAGGACGAACGCUGGCGGCGUGCCUAAUACAUGCAAGUCGAGCGAACCACUUCGGUGGUUAGCGGCGGACGGGUGAGUAACACGUGGGCAACCUGCCUGUAAGACUGGGAUAACUUCGGGAAACCGGAGCUAAUACCGGAUAAUCCUUUUCCUCUCAUGAGGRAAAGCUGAAAGACGGUUUCGGCUGUCACUUACAGAUGGGCCCGCGGCGCAUUAGCUAGUUGGUGAGGUAACGGCUCACCAAGGCGACGAUGCGUAGCCGACCUGAGAGGGUGAUCGGCCACACUGGGACUGAGACACGGCCCAGACUCCUACGGGAGGCAGCAGUAGGGAAUCUUCCACAAUGGACGAAAGUCUGAUGGAGCAACGCCGCGUGAGCGAUGAAGGCCUUCGGGUCGUAAAGCUCUG